rnacentral:tRNA from 1 species
GCGCGAGUGGCGUAACUGGCAGCCGCGCUGGAUUUAGGUUCCAGUGUCCCCGGACGUGCGGGUUCGAGUCCCGCCUCGCGCA